CUUUCGAAACGUUUUGAAACACAAUGCAAUCGUCCCCCUCGAAUCUUAUUGGCUCUCUUGUUGAAACAGGCCCUGAAGAUUUAUGUUAUACAACGUUUGACAUGUUUGAACGAACCUAAAUGGGGAAAAAAAUGCUUUUUGUCGAAAUGGCUGUCCCGCGCCCGACGGAGGAUUUGGAUCAGCCUUGAGACGCGCUAACAAGAACAAGCUAAUGGAACAUAAUGGAUGAACUUUUUCGAAUGAAAAUACAUUUGUUGUGGACCUGGGAUUCCUGGAAGUGCUUUCUGAUGAAGACAACCAAAGGCUUUUCCUGCGGGGCUACAGAGGAACAGCAGUAGAGCAGAGCAGCCUGGGGUCACAUGGCACCAGUUUCAGCACCUGUGACGCCGACAACGACAACUGCCUGUGCAAGUGUGCCCUCAUGGGCGGCAGGACCUGAGCCCUAGGACCAUGCCUCAGGACUACCUGGCAUGAUGACUCCUUGCUGUCCCCAGUCCACCUGGCCGUGCUGCUGCUCCAGUUUCAACUGUUCUGCCUGCGGCUAUGGAACCCUGACCUGUUCACCGGACGUGCUUGUUGCACCCUCGACAACUACUAUGAUUAUUAUUAUUUGACCAUGCUGGUCAUUUAUGAACAUUUUAACAUCUUGAUCAUGUUCUGUUAUAAUAUCCACCCGGCACAGCCAGAAGAGGACUGGCCACCCCUCAUAGCCUGGUUCCUCUCUAGGUUUCUUCCUAGGUUUUUGCCUUUCUAGGGAGUUUUUCCUAGGGAGUUUUUCCUAGCCACCAUGCUUCUUUCACAUGUAUUGCUUGCUGUUUGGGGUUUUAGGCUGGGUUUCUGUACAGCACUUUGAGAUAUCAGCUGAUGUACGAAGGGCUAUAUAAAUAAAUUUGAUUUGAUUUGAUGAGUGGG
rnacentral:lncRNA from 1 species